rnacentral:rRNA from 1 species
UACGGGGGGGGCAAGCGUUGUUCGGAAUUACUGGGCGUAAAGGGCUCGUAGGCGGCCAACUAAGUCAGACGUGAAAUCCCUCGGCUUAACCGGGGAACUGCAUCUGAUACUGGAUGGCUUGAGUUCGGGAGAGGGAUGCGGAAUUCCAGGUGUAGCGGUGAAAUGCGUAGAUAUCAGGAGGAAUACCGAUGGCGAAGGCAGGUCUCUGGGCUGACACUGACGCUCAUGCACGAAAGCGUGGGGAGCAAACAGG